rnacentral:pre_miRNA from 1 species
GGAAUAUAAGAAUCCGUCUCUUAACUUUUAACUAAAAAAAUUAAGAACCGGUUCUUAAAUAAGAGUUUUAAGAACCGGUUCUUAAUUUUUUUAGUUAAAAGUUAAGAGACGGAUUCUUAUAUUCC